CUUUUAUUAUGAGAGUUUGAUCCUGGCUCAGGACGAACGCUGGCGGCGUGCCUAAUACAUGCAAGUCGAACGCUUCUUUCCUCCCG
rnacentral:rRNA from 1 species